rnacentral:rRNA from 1 species
UGGGGAAUAUUGCACAAUGGGCGAAAGCCUGAUGCAGCAACGCCGCGUGAGUGAUGAAGGCCUUCGGGUUGUAAAGCUCUGUCUUCUGGGACGAUAAUGACGGUACCAGAGGAGGAAGCCACGGCUAACUACGUGCCAGCAGCCGCGGUAAUACGUAGGUGGCAAGCGUUGUCCGGAUUUACUGGGCGUAAAGGAUGCGUAGGCGGAUACUUAAGUCAGAUGUGAAAAUCCCGGGCUUAACUUGGGAACUGCAUUUGAAACUGGGUAUCUAGAGUGCGGGAGAGGACAGUGGAAUUCCUAGUGUAGCGGUGAAAUGCGUAGAGAUUAGGAAGAACACCAGUGGCGAAGGCGACUUUCUGGACCGUAACUGACGCUGAGGCAUGAAAGCGUGGGGAGCAAACA